GACGAACGCUGGCGGCGUGCUUAACACAUGCAAGUCGAACGGAAAGGCCCUGCUUGCAGGGUGCUCGAGUGGCGAACGGGUGAGUAACACGUGGGUGAUCUGCCCCUUACUUUGGGAUAAGCCUGGGAAACUGGGUCUAAUACUGGAUAGGACCAUGCUGUAGGUGGUGUGGUGGAAAGAUUAGUUUCGGUAAGGGAUGAGCUCGCGGCCUAUCAGCUGGUUGGUGGGGUAAUGGCCUACCAAGGCGUCGACGGGUAGCCGGCCUGAGAGGGUGGACGGCCGCAUUGGGACUGAGAGACGGCGCAGACUCCUACGGUAGGCAGCAGUGGGGAAUAGGGGACAAUGGGCGCAAGCCUGAUGCAGCGACGCCGCGUGGGGGAUGGCGGCCUUCGGGUUGUAAGCUCCUUUCAGCCAUGACGAAGCCCUUGUGGUGACGGUAGUGGUAGAAGAAGCACCGGCUAACUACGUG
rnacentral:rRNA from 1 species